UCAGGCCUAACACAUGCAAGUCGAACGGCAGCACGGGAGCAAUCCUGGUGGCGAGUGGCGAACGGGUGAGUAAUACACCGGAACGUGCCCAAUCGUGGGGGAUAACGUAGCGAAAGCUACGCUAAUACCGCAUACGAUCUACGGAUGAAAGCGGGGGAUCGCAAGACCUCGCGCGAAUGGAGCGGCCGAUGGCAGAUUAGGUAGUUGGUGGGGUAAAGGCUCACCAAGCCAACGAUCUGUAGCUGGUCUGAGAGGACGACCAGCCACACUGGAACUGAGACACGGUCCAGACUCCUACGGGAGGCAGCAGUGGGGAAUUUUGGACAAUGGGCGCAAGCCUGAUCCAGCAAUGCCGCGUGCAGGAUGAAGGCCUUCGGGUUGUAAACUGCUUUUGUACGGAACGAAACGGCGAGCUCUAAUACAGUUGCUAAUGAC
rnacentral:rRNA from 1 species